rnacentral:rRNA from 1 species
UACGUAGGGGGCAAGCGUUGUCCGGAUUUAUUGGGCGUAAAGAGCUCGUAGGCGGUUCCGUAAGUCGGAUGUGAAAAUCUGGGCUCAACCCAGUGGAGCACCCGAUACUGCGGUGACUCGAGUCCGGUAGGGGAGUGUGGAAUUCCUGGUGUAGCGGUGAAAUGCGCAGAUAUCAGGAGGAACACCGACGGCGAAGGCAGCACUCUGGGCCGGUACUGACGCUGAGGAGCGAAAGCAUGGGGAGCGAACAGG